ACCAGUUAUAAACUUGGCCCAUCCUAAAAUAACUUGAAUAAUAAAAUAAUAAAAUAAACCUACUCUCCGAGAAAAACGUAUAAGAGGAAAACUAAAAUCUGAAGCAGAUUAAAUCUUGCUGUUCUACUUGCCCAAUCAGCGUCAAAUCCUUUACCGUCCUUUCAUUUCAAAUCUUCCUUUCUUUCUUCAAGACGUUUCCAACCUUCCAAUGACAUCCUUUAAUCAUAACUGUCUCCACCUUCUCAGACUCCCCUCCUUCCACUCCUUCCCUUUUAUGGUUCAAUCGGGCUCUCUCACUCUUUCACAUGCCGCUUGAACUUCCACAUCUUCAGGGACCCUCCCGGCCAGGUAAACUCCUUCAUUUCUUUUCAAUGUUUCCUUUGCAAGGAUAUGCGUAAGACUAUUCGCUGAUCUUGGGACAUAUUCGAAACUGCACUCUUUAAAUUUUAACCUUAGCUGAUGAAUAUCAUAUAUAUACGCACUUACCCAAGAUUUAUCUAGGUUCUUUUCCUCGCAUUUUCUUAUUAUUGAUAAUGAGUCUCCUUCUAUAAUAAUACUUUCCCAUUUAAUGCCAAUUCCUGUUUGGAGAGCUUUCCGACAUGCUACUGCCUCCGCCGCAAAAACUGAAGUUAUUCGAUGAUGGAUCUCUAAACAUGAAAGGAGGACUGAACCCUCUCUAUCUCUGGCUACUAUUCCCACUACCGAUCUAUUUUGUCUACCAUCAUAUGCUGCAUCAAAUUUGAUCCUAACCAUCCGGUCAUGAAGCUUUCUCUAUUUUUUGACAGUUAUGGGGGCUUUUGGUCUACUUUUAUCAAUCUCGUUUAACUCUGUUAUGUAGCUUUGAACAUAUCUCCCUGUUUCUUUUCCAGAUUUGCCCCAUUUCUUAUGAACCCUAGCAUUUCUAUCUCUUCAGAUAGCCCAUAGUGCACAACAAAAUAUUCUACAUUGGGAAGUCGAGCUCUGUGAAAAAACCCAGGUUAGCCAGUGAGAGAAAUCCAUCUGAUUAUCCUGUAAACACUGAUGAUAUGAUAACUCUCUUCAUACUGAUUUUGAAACAGGACACUCCCGGAAAAGGUGAUCCAUAUUCUCUGGUCUUAAGCCACACCGGGGGCACGCUGUUGUAUUUGUUAGCUUUUUAAAUACCAGAUUAACUCGUGUAGCUAGGAAAUUCCACGAGAUCUUUCACGUUGUAAUUUUAAUCUUGGAAGGUAUAUCCAGUGGCCAUAAUUUAUUGUAGAAGUCCUUAUAGUCGUCUUGAAAAGCAAAAGCUCUAGGAUUAUCUUUAGUACCUUGUAAUAGUUUAUAGGCACUUCGCACUGUAAACCCGCCCGACGCCUCAGCGCGCCAGACUUGGAAAUCUUCAUGAGGUACCUCCGACAACAGAAUACUCAGAAUCUUCUCGGCAACAUUCUCCGGAAAGGCAGCUUCUAUUAACUCCUUCCAUGUUCUGCUACUAUGAUCAAUAAAUUCCGUAACUCUAUUGUCAUUCAAAUUCAAAUUUAAAUCUGAUAAUCUAUAGAGCGAUAAAUCUGGAAUCCAAUAAUCACUACUUACUGAGAUGUUCUUACCGUUGCCUACCUUCCAGCAUACUCCCUUCGUUAACACACCCUUAGAAGCUCAAAUGCUUUUCCAUGUGUACGAAACAUUGUUCCCUAACUGUGAAUUUAAGAAG
rnacentral:lncRNA from 1 species